GACAGAGGGUGCGAACGUUGUUCGGAAUUACUGGGCGUAAAGCGCAUGUAGGCGGCAGCGCAAGUCGGGCGUGAAAUCCCACGGCUCAACCGUGGAAGUGCACUCGAAACUGCGCAGCUAGAGUCCUGGAGAGGAAGGUGGAAUGCUUGGUGUAGAGGUGAAAUUCGUAGAUAUCAAGCGGAACACCGGUGGCGAAGGCGGCCUUCUGGACAGUGACUGACGGCUGAGAUGCGAAAGCGUGGGGGAGCAAACAGG
rnacentral:rRNA from 1 species